AGUGAACGCUGGCGGUAGGCCUAACACAUGCAAGUCGAACGGCAGCACAGUAAGAGCUUGCUCUUACGGGUGGCGAGUGGCGGACGGGUGAGGAAUACAUCGGAAUCUACUUUUUCGUGGGGGAUAACGUAGGGAAACUUACGCUAAUACCGCAUACGACCUACGGGUGAAAGCAGUGGAUCUUCGGACCUUGCGCGAUUGAAUGAGCCGAUGUCGGAUUAGCUAGUUGGCGGGGUAAAGGCCCACCAAGGCGACGAUCCGUAGCUGGUCUGAGAGGAUGAUCAGCCACACUGGAACUGAGACACGGUCCAGACUACUACGGGAGGCAGCAGUGGGGAAUAUUGGACAAUGGGCGCAAGCAUGAUCCAGCCAUACCGCGUGGGUGAAGAAGGCCUUCGGGUUGUAAAGCCCUUUUGUUGGGAAAGAAAAGCAGCAGGUUAAUACCACGCUGUUCUGACGGUACCCAAAGAAUAAGCACCGGCUAACUUCGUG
rnacentral:rRNA from 1 species